UACGGGGGGGCAAGCGGUUGUUCGGAAUUACUGGGCGUAAAGGCUCGUAGGUGGCCAACUAAGUCAGACGUGAAAUCCCUCGGCUUAACCGGGAACUGCGUCUGAUACUGGAUGGCUUGAGGUUGGGAGAGGAUGCGGAAUUCCAGGUGUAGCGGUGAAAUGCGUAGAUAUCUGGAGGAACACCGGUGGCGAAGGCGGCAUCCUGGACCGGUAUUGACGCUGAGGCGCGAAAGCCAGGGAGCAAAGCGGG
rnacentral:rRNA from 1 species